rnacentral:tRNA from 1 species
UUUCCUUUGGCUCAAUUGGAAGAGCAUUGUGCAACAACGCAAAGGUCGUGGGUUCAAAUCCCAGGGAAAG